rnacentral:lncRNA from 1 species
AGCAGCUGUUUCUCCAUAGGCGGCGGGUGGGGAGACUGUCUGCCUUUCUCCUGAGCUGCCGCCUGUUUCUCUCAUCACCAGCUUCAGGAGGUCCCUGCAGGCUCCCACACCAGCCAAGCUUCCGGCUCAUGAUGAAAGGAGGCGCUCUGCUCUUCUGAGAUAAAGCAUCAGCGGCAGAGCCUGAUGACUAAAGCCUGGAUCCCUAGGUCCCCAGCCGCUGGCUUCCAGGGCAGCCAAUUGUAAACUUUGCUAUGAAGACUUGUCUCCUUUGUUCUUACGUGUUGCUACUUUCUUGUUACCCAGUCCAUGUUAAUCGCUUUUCUGACAAUUUUCCUGGCAAGCUAUUUUUGCUGUAAAGGAAGCGGGGGUUGCUGCUGUGUGUGGAGGGCCUCAAAUUCAGUGUCCAGCCACCCAACAUCUGACCUGUGUGUCCUCUGACAGUUCCUCCCAGGGAGUCAUGGCAACCUAAAAUUUCCUGGGGACUACAGGUUAUGCAUUUUUGGCAAGAAUAUCAAGGAAGGGAAGUCGUGUCCUUCUCAGAGCAUCAUAUCAGGAGGCACGCGAUCUCUCUUGGUUCCAGUAUCAGUGACGUGAACUUUGAUCUCUUGCUUCAGAGCAAAUAGUCCCUUUGGAGCUCAGAACUACCUUCUAAAUUUGAUCUGAACUUAAGUUCUGUCCCCCUCUAUUCAGACUGAAGAUACGUGGUAUUCCUCUGUACGCCCCAGUGACUCGAAUUUCUACUCGGGACCAGACUUUUCUUGGUGAAUGACUCAGCAUUUUAUCCUCUGACAUUUUAAGAGAACCACUUUGCUAUUAAACUGAAGCCAUAUAUUAAAGUUAAACCCCGAAGCAAGCCUGGGUCCAACAAAGGUUAGACAAAGAUAAGACAAUUUGUCACACCUACCAGCCUGCGAAGUGCACGGCAGAAAUGAAAUGAGAUUCCAGAACCAGAACACGCUGGGGCCUUUGACUACAAAUUCUAAUGGAGAGAAACUCUUCUCGGGGGUGGCUGUAGCUCUGGCUUCGGACAGACCGUCUCUUGGCUGUGUUGAUAGACCACGUGGAGGGAUUCUGUGCUCCAGACCUGAGGCCCGAGUUAGGACAGCGUGUUGAAAGGGGGCUUAAAAGCUGAACUUCCAAAUUGGG